rnacentral:tRNA from 1 species
GCCUGGGUGGCUUAGUGGGUGAAAGUCUCUGCCUUCGGCUCAGAUCAUGAUCUCAGGGUCCUGGGAUCAAGUCCCAUAUCAGGCU